UCCCUGGUGUCUCAGAUGGUAAAGAAUCUGCCUGCAGUGCAGGAGGCCCAGGUUUGAUCUCUGGGUCAGGAAG
rfam:TPA: Bos taurus chromosome 11, whole genome shotgun sequence.